GUGCCAGCAGCCGCGGUAAGACGUAGGGUGCAAGCGUUGUCCGGAUUUACUGGGCGUAAAGAGCGCGUAGGCGGUCUGUUAAGUGUAGAGUGAAAUCUCCAGGGCUCAACCCGGAAACUGCUCUGCAUACUGGCAGACUGGAGGGACUGAGAGGUGAAUGGAAUUCCUGGUGUAGCGGUGAAAUGCGUAGAUAUCAGGAGGAACACCCAUGGCGAAGGCAGUUCACUGGCAGUCUCCUGACGCUGAGGCGCGAAAGCGUGGGUAGCAAACAGGAUUAGAUACCCCCGUAGUCC
rnacentral:rRNA from 1 species